AUUGAACGCUGGCGGCAGGCCUAACACAUGCAAGUCGAGCGGAGCGGCGGACGGGUGAGUAAUGCCUAGGAAUCUGCCUGGUAGUGGGGGAUAACGUCCGGCAACGGGCGCUAAUACCGCAUCCUAUCAGAUGAGCCUAGGUCGGAUGAGCUAGUUGGGGGGGUAAAGGCCUACAAAGGCGACGAUCCGUAACUGUUCUGAGUGGAUGAUCAGUCACACUGGAACUGAGACACGGUCCAGACUCCUACGGUAGGAAGCAGGGGGGAAUAUUGGACAAUGGGCGAAAGCCUGAUCCAGCCAUGCCGCUUGGUUGAAGAAGGUCUUCGGAUGUUAAAGCACUUUAAGUUGGGAGGCGUUACCAACAUAAUAAGCACCGGCUAACUUCGUGCCAGCAGCCGCGGUAAUUC
rnacentral:rRNA from 1 species